GCCAACAUGGUGUAGUGGAUUGAGUGCUGGAUUAUGACUCUGGAGGCCAGGGUUCAAUUCCUUGCUUGGCC
rnacentral:tRNA from 1 species